UAUGAAGAACGCAGCGAAAUGCGAUAAGUAAUGUGAAUUGCAGAAUUCAGUGAAUCAUCGAAUCUUUGAACGCACCUUGCGCUCCUUGGUAUUCCGAGGAGCAUGCCUGUUUGAGUGUCGUGAACAUAUCAACCCCGACGGGAUUUUAAUCUCGACGGUGGCUUGGACUUGGGAGCCUGCUGGCCGUUGUACUUCGGUCGGCUCUCCUUGAAUGCAUUAGCUUGGACUUGUUUCAUGGGCUGCAUAGCGUGAUAACUAUCUACGCUUUGUACUGUCUGUGGGAUACUCAUGAGUCUGGCUUCUAAUCGUCCUCUGGACAAUUACUUUACGUUUUGACCUCAAAUCAGGUAGGACUACCCGCUGAACUUAAGCAUAUCAAUAAGCGGAGGA
rnacentral:misc_RNA from 1 species